GCGCACAAAAAAGAAAACAAAAACGAAAAUCCAUCCGCUCCCGCACGUUUGCAUCGCCGCUAACCUCCGCCUGGCCCCGCACGCCUGCGCCGCCGAUUCCCUCCGCCUGCACCGUCGUUCUCCCCAUGCCGCACCGCCGCUUCCCUCCGCCCGCUCCUCUCCCGCGCCGCCCUCUCCACCUCUCCUCACGUCCCGUCACGCCUGCCCACCUCAGCCGCAGCCCACAAGCAGGGUCCCCGAUCCCGUAAACCCUAGCCUUUGCCUCGCCCUCGCUGCCUCGCUGGCUGGAUCCCCACUAUCUGGGCGCCGUCGAUCCGUCGCCGUCUGGUCUCCAUCGAGCCGCAUCGCCCUCGCGUCUCCACCACACCUCGCCGUCGAUUACCCGCAGUCCGGCCGCCGUCGAUCCCUCGACAUCUUGUGUCCGCCGCGACUCCUCUGCCCCCUCCGCAAACUCAUCCGGAUCACGUCUCCCUUGCUGCUCCUGUGUAAGACAAAUGUGAAUCUAUGUUGAGUUCCAUCCGGACAACUGUGGGCGAAAAGGCAAAGAUUUUAAUGGCUGACGAAGGCCAGCGACCGGAAUUUGACGAUGAAGUAGCGCCAAAGAUUGAAAGAAAGAGAGAAAGAGAUCACAACCUGGUGGAAUAUCUAGCUUCAGCGGAAUAGAAGGGUCUUCCAUCGCGUUUGCUCAGAUAACAGAAAAGUGGCGCAGUUAAGCUGGUGGAUCUAUGGAGAGAGAUGGAGCAACUGCACCACCGCUAAUGGUGAAACACAAUGUGUUUGAGGAGAAGAUAGGUGAUGUAUUGAUACAAUGGAUUGUUUCCAGCAAUUUUCUUGAGAUGGCCAACUAAUUCAAGAAGCAAAUUGAAGCCAUAAUUUCCAGAUAAAACAACAGGCUGCAUACUAUUUUCUGGAUUUUUCUAUGGGCAUGCAUGCUCACCAGAGUGGGAGUAUAUUGCAUCCCAUGACUAAAUUUAUAUACAUUUGUCAACCUGCUGACCACAGGUUCAAUCACGAAAACAUGCAUCUGGGAUAUUUAAUUUUCCAGCAUGCAAGCUAGCUAUAAACUGCACUGAACAUCAUUAAUCUGGCAUUGGCAGAUUUUCAGGCCAGUGCCAUAAAGCCCCUUGAACUUGUCAGUGCCAUAUAUAGUAACUUGUACAGGUGGGAUGUGGCUGAUAGCUGAACCAAUUCUGGCAAUGUUUCACAUUUUGUUGAAGAACUGCAUGUAGAAUAGCUUGCUUUGGAUGGAGAAAUCUACUGGAAGGAUGGUAAAUCGUCUUUUGUACAUGCAAAGCCAUCAAAAGUAGCUAUUUUGUGUUUGCAGGUGCCACUCUAGACUAGAUUGGGUGUUUGUGGUGCGGGCAUCUGACCUGUAUUUCUUAGAUUGUAAUCAGAUGCAUUUUGUGAAGGAUAAAGUCAUCAACAGUAAAUUAAUUGUGUAAAAAAGAUGUAUUUGUUUCAUGAUCAUUAAUUUAAUUGGUGCACUUGGCAAUGGUACA